AUGCCGCCCCGGCUCUGUUCCCCCUUCAACCCUUCCUCUUCAGGGCUACCCUUCCAUCUCCUGGCUCUGGGGCAGCCCCUUUCCACGUCUGUCUUGCCAACGCCAGCCGUACUUUGUGCAGUCGCGCCGUCUGGCCUCCUCCUCCUCUGGUCAAAGUUUCUCCCUCUGCGUUCCUCGUAUGCGCAGGGUGGGGCCAGGCGGCCUCUGCUUAUUCUUGCUUCCUUGUCUUCCUUCCCCCAGAGUCCAGCUGCCGGUCACAGCACAGCCCCCCUUUUUCUACAGCCAUUCCAGAGACAUUCCGGACCCAAAUUGCUGAGGAAGGCCUCCCACUGGACUCAGGGCAGAGAGUGCCCCCCCACUCAAAACUGGGGUGUCUUGCAGUAUCUGCCCUGUGUGGCCAAACGGCACAAUUUUUCUCAGGGAACACAGCCAAGGACUCGUCUGGAUGGUGGAGCUGGCUGGCUUUGGGGGAAGAUGGAGAGGCGGGCCGGGGUGUGUGGGGGCGGGGAGGCACAGCUCGGCUCUUGGGUCCUGGUGCCCCGCUCCCUUCUCUGGGGCGGGGGGGAGGAGGGUCGCUUCUUUUGGGCUGGAGUAGGGUCUGCCCGUCGGCCUUUCUCCAGUCCGAGUGGGUGGGUGGGGAGAGUCAGGUGCAUGGUUGUGCGGUGCUCCUCGCCCCUCCCUGCCACGCUGAGGGUUCCCUCCUGUAAGCCAGCCAGCCGUGGCAUCUGCCAGGGCGAGAGGAUGUACAUCACAUGGGCCAAGCCCUCCUCCUGGUGCCAAACGACUCCGGAGGGGCCAGCUCGAGGAGCGGAGAGAGGUCCCAGGGGCGCCCGCUCAGAGGACUGGCAGGACUGCCUACCGGCCUCUCCUGGUGCUCGGCUGCUCCAGUGGGCCUCGAGUGCUGUUGGGGAGCCAAACCCCCCCCCCUUUGGGCUCCCCUCACCCACGUCUAUGGGGUGGCCCUCCGGAAGGGCCGCUUUUCACACUGUGACAACGGAUUUUGUUAGAGACACAUCAGCUCAAUUAAACAUUUCUGAAGGAAGGAGAGCUAGUGCCUGUCUGUUUCCCCCAUGGGGGCGGAGGCGAGGGUUGGGGAGGCGUGGAGCUGUCGCGGGAGAGAAGGCCCAGGUCUGCUCCAUGUUGGGGCCACUUGGCUUGCGAGACUCGGGCAACUUUGCCUCAUAG
rnacentral:lncRNA from 1 species